GCGGGAGUAGCUCAAUUUGUAGAGUAUCAGCCUUCCAGGCUGAAGGUUAUCAGUUCAAGUCUGGUCUCCCGCUCUA
rnacentral:tRNA from 1 species